UGAGGAAUAUUGGUCAAUGGGCGCAAGCCUGAACCAGCCAAGUCGCGUGAGGGAAGACUGUCCUAUGGAUUGUAAACCUCUUUUUUAAGGGAAGAAUAAACACUACGUGUAGUGUGAUGCCUGUACCUUACGAAUAAGCAUCGGCUAACUCCGUGCCAGCAGCCGCGGUAAUACGGAGGAUGCGAGCGUUAUCCGGAAUUACUGGGCGUAAAGAGCACGUAGGCGGUAACCUAAGUCAGAUGUGAAAGACCAGGGCUUAACUCUGGGGUUGCAUACGAAACUGGGUAACUAGAGUGCAGGAGAGGAAAGUGGAAUUCCUAGUGUAGCGGUGAAAUGCGUAGAUAUUAGGAGGAACACCAGUGGCGAAGGCGGCUUUCUGGACUGUAACUGACGCUGAGGUGCGAAAGCCAGGGGAGCGAACG
rnacentral:rRNA from 1 species